GACGAACGCUGGCGGCGUGCUUAACACAUGCAAGUCGAACGGAAAGGCCCUGCUUUUGUGGGGUGCUCGAGUGGCGAACGGGUGAGUAACACGUGAGUAACCUGCCCUUGACUUUGGGAUAACUUCAGGAAACUGGGGCUAAUACCGGAUAGGAGCUCCUGCUGCAUGGUGGGGGUUGGAAAGUUUCGGCGGUUGGGGAUGGACUCGCGGCUUAUCAGCUUGUUGGUGGGGUAGUGGCUUACCAAGGCUUUGACGGGUAGCCGGCCUGAGAGGGUGACCGGCCACAUUGGGACUGAGAUACGGCCCAGACUCCUACGGGAGGCAGCAGUGGGGAAUAUUGCACAAUGGGCGGAAGCCUGAUGCAGCAACGCCGCGUGCGGGAUGACGGCCUUCGGGUUGUAAACCGCUUUCGCCUGUGACGAAGCGUGAGUGACGGUAAUGGGUAAAGAAGCACCGGCUAACUACGUGCCAGCAGCCGCGGUGAUACGUAGGGUGCGAGCGUUGUCCGGAUUUAUUGGGCGUAAAGGGCUCGUAGGUGGUUGAUCGCGUCGGAAGUGUAAUCUUGGGGCUUAACCCUGAGCGUGCUUUCGAUACGGGUUGACUUGAGGAAGGUAGGGGAGAAUGGAGUUCCUGGUGGAGCGGUGGAAUGCGCAGAUAUCAGGAGGAACACCAGUGGCGAAGGCGGUUCUCUGGGCCUUUCCUGACGCUGAGGAGCGAAAGCGUGGGGAGCGAACAGGCUUAGAUACCCUGGUAGUCCACGCUGUAAACGGUGGGUACUAGGUGUGGGGUCCAUUCCACGGGUUCCGUGCCGUAGCUAACGCUUUAAGUACCCCGCCUGGGGAGUACGGCCGCAAGGCUAAAACUCAAAGGAAUUGACGGGGCCCCGCACAAGCGGCGGAGCAUGCGGAUUAAUUCGAUGCAACGCGUAGAACCUUACCUGGGUUUGACAUGGAUCGGGAGCGCUCAGAGAUGGGUGUGCCUCUUUUGGGGUCGGUUCACAGGUGGUGCAUGGCUGUCGUCAGCUCGUGUCGUGAGAUGUUGGGUUAAGUCCCGCAACGAGCGCAACCCUUGUUCACUGUUGCCAGCACGUUAUGGUGGGGACUCAGUGGAGACCGCCGGGGUCAACACGGAGGAAGGUGGGGAUGACGUCAAGUCAUCAUGCCCCUUAUGUCCAGGGCUUCACGCAUGCUACAAUGGCUGGUACAGAGAGUGGCGAGCCUGUGAGGGUGAGCGAAUCUCGGAAAGCCGGUCUCAGUUCGGAUUGGGGUCUGCAACUCGACCUCAUGAAGUCGGAGUCGCUAGUAAUCGCAGAUCAGCAACGCUGCGGUGAAUACGUUCCCGGG
rnacentral:rRNA from 1 species